GAUGAAGAACGUAGCGAAAUGCGAUAAGUAAUGUGAAUUGCAGAAUUCAGUGAAUCAUCGAAUCUUUGAACGCACAUUGCGCCCGCCAGUAUUCUGGCGGGCAUGCCUGUUCGAGCGUCAUUUCAACCAUCAAGCUCCCCGGCUUGUGUUGGGGACCUGCGGCUGCCGCAGGCCCUGAAAAGCAGUGGCGGGCUCGCUGUCACACCGAGCGUAGUAGAUCUCAUCUCGCUCAGGGCGUGCUGCGGGUUCCGGCCGUUAAACCACCUUCAUAACCCAAGGUUGACCUCGGAUCAGGUAGGAAGACCCGCUGAACUUAAGCAUAUCAAUAAGCGGAGGA
rnacentral:misc_RNA from 1 species